rnacentral:lncRNA from 10 species
GUAUCCUAGAGAAGUAAGGUUUCCAAGGAGUUGGUUGUGUCCAACAGAUAGCAACCAUUGACUUUGGCAAAGCACAGAUCACUGGCACUUUAAUAAGCUUAAUUCCUUCUGGUUGAAUGUGUGUAUAGAUACGAAACUAAAUAAAUAGUUCUAGAAGCUGAGAAGUCCAACAUCAAGGCACAGGCAGGUGGCAGGUUUGAUUGUCUGGUGAAGGCUGCCCUCUGCUUCCAAGAUGGACCCUUGUUGUUGCAUUUUCUGGAAAAAAGGAACACUGUGUUCUCAGAUGGCUGAAAGCAGAAGGAACCUCAGGCCAAGUGUUCUUGACAGCUCAUCCACAGACUCCCACUGGUAAAGCAGCAUGAGGAUGGCUUCUGUUAUUUUAUUUCAGAAUUUUUUCCUGCAGUGGCAUGCCAGUACCAGCUGAGGAUCAUGUAUGCAAUAUUUGCCUUCUUUCAUCUUCUACCUAGGAUGGCUUUAAUUCUCUUCGAGGAGAAUUUAUUUUAGUUUUUCCCAGUAAGAGAAUCCACUUCUCUUGCCCAUAUUCAUAAAUUAUCAUUAAAAAUUAAACUUGGUACAAUAAAUAUUAACAUGGUUCCAGCUUCUCCAUUGUUAUGCUCAGAAUUCAGUUCAUUGGCAGGAUCUAGGCAUAGGAUCAGUCCAAAGUUGGGCCAAGGCACAAGGAAGGUUUGCACAAGUUUAGAGCAUCAUUGAGAAUCCAUAUGGCAUCAAAUUCUGACCAUCAGAACCAAUCAUUUUAGUCAAAUUGCUGAGACACAAAUUAAGUCCAGGAAUCGGUAG